AUUGAACGCUGGCGGCAUGCUUUACACAUGCAAGUCGAACGGUAACAUAAGAAAGCUUGCUUUCUUGAUGACGAGUGGCGAACGGGUGAGUAAUACAUCGGAACGUACCCUGUAGUGGGGGAUAACUACUCGAAAGAGUGGCUAAUACCGCAUACAACCUGAGGGUAAAAGUGGGGGACCGCAAGGCCUCACGCUAUAGGAGCGGCCGAUGGAAGAUUAGGUAGUUGGUGGGGUAAAGGCCUACCAAGCCGACGAUCUUUAGCGGGUCUGAGAGGACGAUCCGCCACACUGGGACUGAGACACGGCCCAGACUCCUACGGGAGGCAGCAGUGGGGAAUUUUGGACAAUGGGCGAAAGCCUGAUCCAGCAAUGCCGCGUGAGUGAAGAAGGCCUCGGUGUAAGCUCUUUGUUGGUAAGAAUACG
rnacentral:rRNA from 1 species